rnacentral:rRNA from 1 species
AACGAACGCUGGCGGCAGGCUUAACACAUGCAAGUCGAGCGCCCCGCAAGGGGAGCGGCAGACGGGUGAGUAACGCGUGGGAACGUACCUUUUGGUUCGGAACAACUCCGGGAAACUGGAGCUAAUACCGGAUAAGCCCUAACGGGGAAAGAUUUAUCGCCGAAAGAUCGGCCCGCGUCUGAUUAGCUAGUUGGUGAGGUAACGGCUCACCAAGGCGACGAUCAGUAGCUGGUCUGAGAGGAUGAUCAGCCACACUGGGACUGAGACACGGCCCAGACUCCUACGGGAGGCAGCAGUGGGGAAUAGUGGACAAUGGGCGCAAGCCUGAUCCAGCCAUGCCGCGUGAGUGAUGAAGGCCUUAGGGUUGUAAAGCUCUUUUGUCCGGGAAGAUAAUGACUGUACCGGAAGAAUAAGCCCCGGCUAACUUCGU